rnacentral:rRNA from 1 species
UACGUAGGGUGCGAGCGUUGUCCGGAAUUAUUGGGCGUAAAGGGGCUCGUAGCGGUUUGUUCGCGUCGGGAGUGAAAACCUUGGGCGUUGAACUCAGGGCUUGCCUUUCGAUACGGGCAGACUAGAGGUAUGCAGGGGAGAACGGAAUUCCUGGUGUAGCGGUGAAAUGCGUAGAUAUCGAGAGGAACACCUGCGGCGAAGGCGGGUUGCUGGGCCGACACUGACGCUGAGGCGCGGAAAGCCAGGGGAGCGAACAGG